CGCAGCCCGGGUUCCCGCCCACGUCUCUCCUUCCGGGGCUCUCACUCCAUACCUCCCCACAAGCUGAGGGAGCCGGCUCCGGCCUCAGCCAGCCCAGAAAGGGGCUCCCACAGUGCAGCGGGCUGAAGGGCUCCUCAAUAGCGACCAGAGUGGGCACCAAGGCCGAGGAGGCACCAAAAGCGAGUGAGGGCUGCGAGGGCUGCGAGGGCUGCCAGCACAUUGUCGCCUCUCAGUAGGGUCUUUGAGAGACAAGGUAUUUCACUGUAACAGACAUCAGACUAAAAGGAUCUUGCUAUGAUUCCCAGGCUGAUCACAAACUCCUGACCUCAAGCAACCCUUUCACCUCAGCAUCCCAAAGUGCUGGGAUUACAGGAUGAUCCACUAUGUCUGGCCCAUAAAUAGUCUUCUUUAAGUACAUCUCAUGGGGGAAUCUAAGGAAGAAGCAAGUUAUGGAGAAACAGGCUUCAGAAACUGUAGUUUCAGACUUAUCUUCUGCAAUGGAGAAGAAAAUGAAGAUAGGAGCCGUGUUGACAUCACGUUGAAAAUAAACAUCUGGCACACUAUUCUACUUCUGAAAAUCCUGCUGUUUGAGCAUG
rnacentral:lncRNA from 10 species